UAUCCCUUUAUUUUUGAUUAAACAAAGAACUACAAUCUACCAAACAGGAAGCCAGAUAUUUUCAAACAGGAAAUAAAGCAUUUCUACAAUCGAGCAGAAACUUCAGGUUUUCAUCCAAAGCUGAUCAGGCAUGGAUGUAAGCUUAAAAAAAUUGCACAUUUCAACAACUGCCUGGUGACACAGCGGGCUAAGGCCGUGUGCUCUUCAAGGACGUCAUGUUGCAAGUUCAAACCACGCCUGACAAGAUAUUUAGCACAUUACCAGCUAUGUCCUAGACCAGAUCCAGACUAAUCCCAACACUUAAAGGGAUAGGCUUCGAAGACAGGGUGAUAGGACGCAGCAAGCUUCUUGAUCUCUGUAAGGCUAGACAGGAGGAAUGAGCCCUAACAGCCUCCUGCUUCAGCUCAAAGUAGAUUAGAUGCAGCUUUGAAGCACAGUCUAAAAAUUCCUUUGCGUUACCACAAACUGAAAUCUUUGCACAGGCCAUUCUGGCAGACUGACGAGACACAGACACAAGGGUGAGUCAUCCCCCCCCAAGAAAGCAGAGGGGGGGGAACCGUCAAUCCCCUUUGACAGGACAAAUGAUAUUCGAGUGAACUGUAAAUCAUGAGCAAGGGGCAAGACCAAGGAGUGGCUCCAAGACGAGCUAACCAAUGCUUAGGCACGUUGUGUGACAAUAAACGUCAUCUGUGAAUUCAUCGGUUCAAUCGAGAUGGGUCGGCGCUUACUUCAAAAAGAAUGGGACCGGCAAAGAAAGGGGGAAGUGGUUCUGAGGAAUGAAAUGGAAGCUGAACUGCCAAGAAGGAAGUUUCUGAAACUUGGAAAAAGCAGUGGGAAAGUGUGCUGGAAUCAUGGGAGAAUCUAUGGUCUGAAGAGAAUCUAAGAAUCUCUGAAGUCUGAAGAAUCUAAGCUCUAAAAUUAUGUUCCGAGAAUGUUGAAAUUAGCUUUGCAGAGAGGCCUGCUCUUAAACUGAACCGCUAAAAAGGACCCUGCGUUGAACUGAAAUCGGUCAUGUACUAGUCGUACAGAACAAUUGCAACGAGAAUACUUUUACAGACAACGUAACUGUUAAAUUGCAAUGCAUUCUUUGAACUGUGAGUUUACGUCUGGUCAACAGAACUAUUUCCAGUUAUCAAGUCGAAGAUAAUGUUGCAAGACUAUUGGAAACCAACAAGCUGACCUCCAUUUGAAAAUAAGCAUUUGUUUAUUGCAAGCUGAUGCAAUACAAUGCAUACUUUAAGCAAAGUACCAUCUUCUUUCGUUGAACUUCAGAUCCAGGGAGAGAAGCUGCUGCAGUGUUCAUCACCAAAGAAUUAUUUGUUGAAAAUCAAUAAGUAUUCAACAUAUCAAAUAUUAAACAUUUUAUGAGAAAUAAACUGUAGCUAAUGCUAUCAAGU